rnacentral:lncRNA from 1 species
UGAUUUCUAAUCCAAUGCACAAUUGAUCACAGACAACUUAUGAUUUAAUUACUCUUUGAAUACUUAACUGAAAUUUAUCAAAAAGCAUGAUAAAUUCCCAAAACUCCCCUAUUUCGUUAACUUGAGCCCAGCACCCUCAUUAACUCUAAUUAUUAAACGAUCGGGUAUUAAGCAAUCCCUCUCAAUUUAAUAAAAGCAUUAAGAAUCAGGAAGUAGUUAAACUUGAACAACAAUUUAUAAAGCAUAAACCAUUUAAUUCAACCCUAUUGUCUCUAUAGAUUAUUACUGAAAACCUGAAAUAUAAUCAAUAAUAUCUAAUUGCUACUAACAUUCAAACUUUCAUAACAAUUACGGAUUAUGAAAUCUGAAAUAGCACUUAAUCCUACCAAACAAUUCACUAAUAGGCCUUUUUAGCAAAGAAUUCAAUAGAAUCAACUCAAUAAG